rnacentral:rRNA from 1 species
GGACCCGCACAAGCGGUGGAACAUGUGGUUUAAUUCGAUAAUACGCGAAAAACCUUACCAAGUUUUGACAUGAUAAUUAUGCGCAUGGGAAACUAUGUAGCUAGCAACAGCUAAAUUAUCACAGGUGUUGCAUGGCUGUCGUCAGCUCGUGUCGUGAGAUGUUGGGUUAAGUCCCGUAACGAGCGCAACCCUUAUUUUUAGUUGCAAUCGAUAUUUUCGAGCACUCUAAGAAAACUGCCAAAUUUUUGGAGGAAGGUGAGGAUGACGUCAAGUCAGUAUGGCCCUUAUAACUUGGGCUACACACGUGUUACAAUGACAAUUACAAUAUGAGGCGAAAGAGCGAUCUGGAGCAAAUCCCUAAAAAUUGUCUCAGUUCAGAUUGUACCCUGCAACUCGGGUACAUGAAGUAGGAAUC